rnacentral:rRNA from 1 species
GGCGAACGGGUGAGUAAUGCGUCGGAACGUGCCGAGUAGUGGGGGAUAACCCGGCGAAAGCCGGGCUAAUACCGCAUACGACCUAAGGGUGAAAGCGGGGGACCGUAAGGCCUCGCGCUAUUGGAGCGGCCGAUGUCUGAUUAGCUAGUUGGCGGGGUAAAAGCCCACCAAGGCGACGAUCAGUAGCUGGUCUGAGAGGACGACCAGCCACACUGGGACUGAGACACGGCCCAGACUCCUACGGGAGGCAGCAGUGGGGAAUUUUGGACAAUGGGCGCAAGCCUGAUCCAGCCAUGCCGCGUGCGGGAAGAAGGCCUUCGGGUUGUAAACCGCUUUUGGCAGGAACGAAACGGCGCGAGCCAAUACCUCGCGCUAAUGACGGUACCUGCAGAAUAAGCACCGGCUAACUACGUGCCAGCAGCCGCGGUAAUACGUAGGGUGCAAGCGUUAAUCGGAAUUACUGGGCGUAAAGCGUACGCAGGCGGCUUUGCAAGACAGGUGUGAAAUCCCCGGGCCUAACCUGGGAACUGCAUUUGUGACUGCAUGGCUAGAGUCUGUCAGAGGGGGGUGGAAUUCCACGUGUAGCAGUGAAAUGCGUAGAGAUGUGGAAGAACACCGAUGGCGAAGGCAGCCCCCUGGGAUGAGACUGACGCUCAUGUACGAAA